CGCGGCCUAUCAGCUUGUUGGUGAGGUAAUGGCUCACCAAGGCGUCGACGGGUAGCCGGCCUGAGAGGGUGACCGGCCACACUGGGACUGAGACACGGCCCAGACUCCUACGGGAGGCAGCAGUGGGGAAUAUUGCACAAUGGGCGCAAGCCUGAUGCAGCAACGCCGCGUGAGGGACGACGGCCUUCGGGUUCUAAACCUCUUUUAGCAGGGAAGAAGCGAAAGUGACGGUACCUGCAGAAAAAGCGCCGGCUAACUACGUGCCAGCAGCCGCGGUAAUACGUAGGGCGCAAGCGUUAUCCGGAAUUAUUGGGCGUAAAGAGCUCGUAGGCGGUUUGUCGCGUCUGCUGUGAAAACCCGAGGCUCAACCUCGGGCCUGCAGUGGGUACGGGCAGACUAGAGUGCGGUAGGGGAGAUUGGAAUUCCUGGUGUAGCGGUGGAAUGCGCAGAUAUCAGGAGGAACACCGAUGGCGAAGGCAGAUCUCUGGGCCGUAACUGACGCUGAGGAGCGAAAGGGUGGGGAGCAAACAGGCUUAGAUACCCUGGUAGUCCACCCCGUAAACGUUGGGAACUAGUUGUGGGGUCCAUUCCACGGAUUCCGUGACGCAGCUAACGCAUUAAGUUCCCCGCCUGGGGAGUACGG
rnacentral:rRNA from 1 species